rnacentral:rRNA from 1 species
CCUACGGGGGGCUGCAGUGGGGAAUAUUGGACAAUGGGGGGAACCCUGAUCCAGCCAUGCCGCGUGUGUGAAGAAGGCCCUCGGGUUGUAAAGCACUUUCAGUGAGGAAGAACGCCUGGUGGUUAAUACCCAUCAGGAAAGACAUCACUCACAGAAGAAGCACCGGCUAACUCCGUGCCAGCAGCCGCGGUAAUACGGAGGGUGCGAGCGUUAAUCGGAAUUACUGGGCGCAAAGCGCGCGUAGGUGGCUUGAUAAGCCGGUUGUGAAAGCCCCGGGCUCAACCUGGGAACGGCAUCCGGAACUGUCAAGCUAGAGUGCAGGAGAGGAAGGUAGAAUUCCCGGUGUAGCGGUGAAAUGCGUAGAGAUCGGGAGGAAUACCAGUGGCGAAGGCGGCCUUCUGGACUGACACUGACACUGAGGUGCGAAAGCGUGGGUAGCAAACAGGAUUAGAUACCCUUGUAGUC